rnacentral:rRNA from 1 species
CCUACGGGAGGCAGCAGUAAGGGAUAUUGGUCAAUGGGGGAAACCCUGAACCAGCAACGCCGCGUGAGGGAAGACGGUUUUCGGAUUGUAAACCUCUGUCCGCGGUGAAGAGGAUGACGGUAGCAGAGGAGGAAGCUCCGGCUAACGACGUGCCAGCAGCCGCGGUAAGACGCAGGGAGCGAGCGUUGUCCGGAUUUACUGGGUGUCAAGGGGGCGUAGGCGGCUUGGCAAGGCAGUAGUGACCUCCCUGGGCUUAACCCCUGAACUGCUAUUGAAACUGUCGAGCUUGAGUGAAGUAGAGGUAGGCGGACUUCCCGGUGUAGCGGUGACAUGCGU